rnacentral:misc_RNA from 2 species
AACUCUCAAUCAAAUAUGGCUUUCUUGCUGUCUUUGCUUGGAUUUGGACUCUGCUGUGUUAAGCGGCUGGUCCUAAAUAUAUUAGCUGGUUCUUAUGAUAGGAUCUGGUUCUACUUGGCGUGAUAAUUAUCUAACGUUGAGGACAGUCUUAGGACUGGCCAGAGCUUAUAUUUGGAUUGCUUCUAAUUGUCCUUAGACAAUGAUCAUUCAAU